CAGGUCGUAGAAAUCCCCCGAGUUCUGGAUCCGAAUAUGGGUCACCUGAUCCCCCACCCUGCGGGGCACCAGGCAGUGAGGUUUUGGCGCACCCACCUUACCCCUACCCUGCAGCCAGGGCUGGGGGUGAUGAGCAGAAUGCAGGGGAAAGCAGACCUAUGGAUACAGCCAUACCUGCAGCAUAUGGACAUUCUCCAGGGACUAACUCCAAGCAGCAGCUUCAACCUAUGCUGUAGCAGCACCAGAUCUUUGUUUUGUUUUGUCUUUUGUCUUUUUAGGGCUGCACCCGUGGCAUAUGGAGGUUCCCAG